UUUUUACUAUAAGUGUAUUUCAUGCAAUAUUUGGGAAAUACUUACACAAAAA
rnacentral:pre_miRNA from 1 species